ACUCCUGCGGGAGGCAGCAGUGGGGAAUAUUGGACACUGGGCGCAAGCCUGAUCCAGCCAUGCCGCGUGAGUGAUGAAGGCACUAGGGUUGUAAAGCUCUUUCACCGGUGAAGAUAAUGACGGUAACCGGAGAAGAAGCCCCGGCUAACUUCGUGCCAGCAGCCGCGGUAAUACGAAGGGGGCUAGCGUUGUUCGGAUUUACUGGGCGUAAAGCGCACGUAGGCGGACUAUUAAGUCAGGGGUGAAAUCCCGGGGCUCAACCCCGGAACUGCCUUUGAUACUGGUAGUCUUGAGUUCGAGAGAGGUGAGUGGAAUUCCGAGUGUAGAGGUGAAAUUCGUAGAUAUUCGGAGGAACACCAGUGGCGAAGGCGGCUCACUGGCUCGAUACUGACGCUGAGGUGCGAAAGCGUGGGGAGCAAACAGGAUUAUAAACCCCUGUAGUCCCAUGAU
rnacentral:rRNA from 1 species